rnacentral:lncRNA from 1 species
CGCAAUCCGUCGUUUUCUUUUUCUCUCUACCGGUGACUGAGAUUUUCCGAUUUCAUACUCCACUCCUUCAUCUUCUUCUUCCAAAAUUUCGUUUUCUUCUUCGGGAUCCUUUUCAUCUUCUCAUGUAUAUCUUGUUUCAGUCGAUACCAUCUUCUUCCUCUUUCCUCUUCACUCGUUUCUCCGUGAAUCUGAGAUAGCCACCGUGAAUCCGAGAAAUCCACCGUGAAUCCGCGGUGAGAAAUCUCUGUGUCUUCUCUUUGUAAAAAUUCUUUUGUUUGAUCCAUAUAUUUCGAUUGAUCCAAGAUAUGGAUUGAUUGUGUUGUGUUGGGUAUAAUAAUGGUGUGUUGGGUAUAAUAAUGGUUUGAUUUUGUUUGAAACAGAUGGAUUAUGAAUGGGUUUUCGAUUGAAUUUGUUUUUUUUUUUUCUUUUUCUUUGAGGGUUUAAUAAGGAUCCUUCGAUUGAUUGUGUUGUGUUGGGUUUAAUUGGAUUCCGGUUUAAUUAAAGUUUGAAACAAGGUUUCUUUUGUUUGAGGGUGUUGGGUUUUGAUGAUUUAUGGAUGGAUUGUGUUGGGGUUUGAGGAAUUUGAUUUGUGGAUUGAUUUUCAGAUUUCAAUUUGUCUUGUUUUCGGAUUUGAAUUUGUCCAAAUGUUCGAUCUUGAAUUUCUCUAUAUAUUUCGGAUUUGAAUUUUUCAUUUAGAUAGAUACAAAUAGUGUGUUUCGGAUUUUUUGAAAUUUGUUGAAAAAUCCAAACUUUAUCUCUUGAGAUUAUGUGAGUUUGUGUUUGUGUAAGUAGAUAGAUAUUGAAUUUGUAUUUGUUGUUGCAGGUUGGUUUACAAAGGCUAUUACCAUAGGAGGAGCUUCUAGUUCUAGAAGUGAACCAUCUUGUUCUAGAAGUGAACAAUAUGCCGAGCUUAGAAAUCCCAAAAGACAAAGGCAAUCGGAUCCAAAGCAUUCAGAGACAGCAGCUGCAGAGGAUGAUGUCAUGGAAGAUCAAUGAGUCGAACCGUCUUUGGAGAAUGUUUAGGUACAACUGGUACGAUUAGGUAUAACUAUGUUUCUAGGUUUAUGUUUUUUGAUUAUGUAUGAAUCUUAUUAUGGUCUCUGAUGUUGAUGUAUAAAUCUAAGUCUUACUUUAUGAAAAAAGAAGAAGGAGAAAGAGCCUUAUUCUGGUCUCUCAUAUUGAUGUAUAAAUGUAAGUGUUUAGGUACAACUGGUACGAUUAGGUACAACUAUGUUUCUGGGUUUAUGUUUUUUUUAUUAUGUAUGAAUCUUUGAAUCUGAUUCUAGUUAUGUAUGAAUCUUUUAAUCUGAAUCUUAAUAUUUUUAUGUAUGAAUCUAUGUAU